AAUCCUCAAAACCUUUUUUCUUUGAUCCUUCAUGGUUGGAAAGAGGAUUUUGGACUUGGAGGUUUGAUGCUUGCUUUUGUUUUUGAAAGUGAGCUCCUCUCAAAUAAAUUAGUGGGGGUCCACUUUGCAGAUCCUUGACGUGAUAAGAUGUUUCUACGUUUUGGAUUUAGCACUGUCCCUUGCUUCUAAAUGUCUCAUGGACAAUGAUGGUGUUCUGGUCACUGCCAUUCACAUUGGCGGGAGGCUGGACCCACAAAAA
rnacentral:misc_RNA from 1 species